rnacentral:rRNA from 1 species
GUCUAUGGCCAUAUCACCCUGAAUGCGCCCAAUCUCGUCUGAUCUCGGAAGCUAAGCAGGGUCAGGCCUGGUUAGUACUUGGAUAGGAGACUGAUAACACCUAGCAUUUUUGUAA